UCCGAGUUGACCCCGGCAGUCUCCCAUGAGUCCCCAGCACCCCGAAGGGCCUGCUGGCAACAUGGAACGAGGGUUGCGCUCGUUGCGGGACUUAACCCAACAUCUCACGACACGAGCUGACGACAGCCAUGCACCACCUGUACACCGACAAAAAGGGGCACCAUCUCUGAUGCUUUCCGGCGUAUGUCAAACCCAGGUAAGGUGGGGAUGACGUAAUCUACG
rnacentral:misc_RNA from 1 species